GUCUACAGCUAUACCACCCUGAAUGUGCCCCCAUCUUGUCUGAUUGCAGAAGCUAAGCAGAGUCAGGUCUGAUUAGUACUUGGAUGGCAGAAUUACAACAAUAAAAAGCCAUGUGGAUG
ensembl:rRNA 5S_rRNA 5S ribosomal RNA